UCGGCUAAGUCGCACGCGUGCCUGCAACGCUUCGAGAAAGGAGCCGUGUUAAAAGAAUUCGACGAGAGACGCGUAAAAAUAGAGAAAGCUACGAGACACCGACGAGGAGGAAAUAAAAUCGUCGCCACGAUUCGACGAAGAAGGAGGGGUAUUACUCCGUUAUAGAUUGCAUCACAAACUGGCGUUAAGAUGCCCUCUCUCUUUCUCUCUCUCUCUCCCUUCCUGUCUCAAUUUUACUGCGGUCAGCCGCCUCGGGAUACUUCGCGACGCAGAGCUGUACAGCUUCAUGAUUCUACGAAUCCGUCGUCCGUGUUUGGCAACGUACACGGCGCUUCGAUGCACCUGCCCGUAUGAAGAUAUUUAUGGAUCUACCUAACACGGCGGACUAAGGCGCGCUUAAGGCGGAAGUAGAGCCGGCGGAUGGUGAAUGUUUCCUUGUUACUGCGUGGUAUUUAAAUAACUCGGUGAACUUGGAACGCGUGUUGAAAUUACGACAGAGAACAAGGAAAAGUAUUUCCCAGAUAUAAUCUUCCGAAUUAUCUCUGUUCCGAUCUCUUCUUCAUCAGUCAACUGCUGUUUAUGAACUAAAUAAAAUUGUCUCCUUUCUUAUACAAUAUUCAAGAAGAAAAAUAGAAAAAAAAAGAAAACCAAACAACGAUAUCGCACGGAUAUCUGUGCUUAUUUGCGAUUCGUAUUGACCCAAUUUUAUUGAUCAAAAAUAUAAUCACAAAUAUAAUAUAUAUCGAUUCAUUUAAUUAAACAUG